UACGUAGGGUGCAAGCGUUGUCCGGAAUUAUUGGGCGUAAAGAGCUCGUAGGCGGUCUGUCGCGUCUGCUGUGAAAACUCAGGGCUUAACCCUGAGCCUGCAGUGGGUACGGGCAGACUAGAGUGCGGUAGGGGAGACUGGAAUUCCUGGUGUAGCGGUGAAAUGCGCAGAUAUCAGGAGGAACACCGGUGGCGAAGGCGGAUCUCUGGGCCGAUACUGACGCUGAGGAGCGAAAGCGUGGGGAGCGAACAGG
rnacentral:rRNA from 1 species